GACGAACGCUGGCGGCGUGCCUAAUACAUGCAAGUCGAGCGGACGGAUGGGAGCUUGCUCCCAGACCGUCAGCGGCGGACGGGUGAGUAACACGUGGGCAACCUGCCUGUAAGACUGGGAUAACUCCGGGAAACCGGGGCUAAUACCGGAUAACUCUUUCCCUCACAUGAGGGAAAGCUGAAAGAUGGCAUCUCGCUAUCACUUACAGAUGGGCCCGCGGCGCAUUAGCUAGUUGGUGAGGUAACGGCUCACCAAGGCGACGAUGCGUAGCCGACCUGAGAGGGUGAUCGGCCACACUGGGACUGAGACACGGCCCAGACUCCUACGGGAGGCAGCAGUAGGGAAUCUUCCGCAAUGGACGAAAGUCUGACGGAGCAACGCCGCGUGAGUGAUGAAGGUUUUCGGAUCGUAAAACUCUGUUGUCAGGGAGGAACAAGUACCGGAGUAACUGCCGGUACCUUGACGGUACCUGACCAGAAAGCCACGGCUAACUACGUG
rnacentral:rRNA from 1 species